GUGCCGGGGCGAGGAGUGCGGAAACCAUUUUCCUCCCCCUCCAGUAUCCGACCGGGCGUGGCUACCAAACAGUCCUCUCGGGACACCUGUCUCUUCUGGAACUUCUGAAUGGGUAGAAGCUAACCUACUACUCCACUGUUUGAAUUUGGCGGACCACCCUCUCCACCGCUCCCCAAUCACAGUUGACCCAGCCUCUAGUCAGUGAUUGGCCCACAUUUCGACGCUGAAAAGACGGAGCAGAGCGCUUCACUGCAUUCUAAUGAUCAUAGCAGAUAGGUGCCCCCUCUCUCUCUCUCUCUCUCUGGCACUCACAGGUCACCUCCAGCUGCACAGAGCCGUUGAG